rnacentral:rRNA from 1 species
AAAGCACCAAGGAGCAGGUAUCAGGCACAACCCGUUAGCCCAAAACACCUUGCUACGCCACACCCACACGGGCACCCAGCAGUGAUAAACAUUAAGCUAUGAGUGAAAGCCAACUUAAGCUCGACUUAGUUAUGAUUAUUCGGGUCGGUAAACCUCGUGCCAGCCACCGCGGUUAUACGAGGGACCCAAAACAACGGACACCGGCGUAAAUUGUGACUAGAGCAUCUACUUAUAACAUUGGGAAAUAAAUAAAAACUCAACAGUAAAACCUGAGUUAAAAGAAAUAUAUUCUCCCAACUACAAAGGAACUUGAACCCACGAAGACUAAGAAACAAACUAGGAUUAGAUACCCUACUAUGCUUAGUUGUCAACACGAUACCAAAAAACAUCGGUAUCCGCCAGAAAAUUACACGCGAAAAGCUUAAAACUCAAAGGACUUGGCGGUGCUCCGUACUCGCCUUAGAGGAGCCUGUCCUAUAAUCGAUAACCCACGCUUUACCUUACCAUCUUUUGUAAAAACAGCCUAUAUACCGCCGUCGCAAACUUACCCCGUGAGGGUAUAACAGUAAGUAAAAUAGUAACGCACGAAUACGUCAGGUCAAGGUGUAGCUAAUAAGAUGGAAGAGAUGGGCUACAUUUUCUAAAACAGAAUAUACGGCAAAGAACAUUGAAACAUGCUCUAAAAGGUGGAUUUAAUAGUAAGAUAGAAAAGAGUGCCUAUCUAAAAC